AGAGCGAACGCUGGCGGCAGGCUUAACACAUGCAAGUCGAACGCUCGUAGCAAUACGGGAGUGGCAGACGGGUGAGUAACACGUGGGAACAUCCCCCUCGGUUCGGAAUAACUCAGGGAAACUUGAGCUAAUACCGGAUACGUCCGAGAGGAGAAAGAUUUAUCGCCGAGGGAUUGGCCCGCGUCUGAUUAGCUAGUUGGUGAGGUAACGGCCCACCAAGGCGACGAUCAGUAGCUGGUCUGAGAGGAUGACCAGCCACACUGGGACUGAGACACGGCCCAGACUCCUACGGGAGGCAGCAGUGGGGAAUCUUGGACAAUGGGCGCAAGCCUGAUCCAGCCAUGCCGCGUGAGUGAUGAAGGCCUUAGGGUUGUAAAGCUCUUUCGACGGGGACGAUAAUGACGGUACCCGUAGAAGAAGCCCGGCUAACUUCGCGCCAGCAGCCGC
rnacentral:rRNA from 1 species